rnacentral:rRNA from 1 species
UACGUAGGGUGCGAGCGUUAAUCGGAAUUACUGGGCGUAAAGCGUGCGCAGGCGGCUCUUCAAGUCAGGUGUGAAAGCCCCGGGCUUAACCUGGGAAUUGCGCUUGAAACUGAGGGGCUAGAGUGUGGCAGAGGGAGGUGGAAUUCCUGGUGUAGCGGUGAAAUGCGUAGAUAUCAGGAGGAACACCGAUGGCGAAGGCAGCCUCCUGGGCCAACGCUGACGCUCAGGCACGAAAGCGUGGGGAUCAAAAGGG